ACCAUGUGAAGAAGGUGCUUGUUUCCCCUUUGCCUUCCGCCAUGAGUGUAAGUUUCCUGAGGUCUCCCAGUCAUACUGCUGGUUAAGCCUGCAGAACGGGUGUACUUGUUUGAAAUGUAUCUGGCCCAAUCGCUGAGCGUCCGCGCUGCAUUUCUCCAAACUGCCCAGCAGGGGGCGGUGCUACCUCGGCUCCGCGCAGCCACGGCUUCCCGCUGGCGAACCAAGGGCGCGGAAUCUGGAGAGGGCGAGGAACAUCUUUCCUCCCACCUGUCCCCCGCCAAGCCUGCCAGACCCGUCUCAUCCGUGCUGCUGCUUCUGAAAAUCAGAAGAGUGAGGAUGAAAUAAAGUCUUCAUAAAGGAAAA
rnacentral:lncRNA from 1 species